AACGAACGCUGGCGGCAGGCUUAACACAUGCAAGUCGAACGCAUCCUUCGGGGUGAGUGGCAGACGGGUGAGUAACGCGUGGGAACGUGCCCUUCAGUUCGGGAUAACCCAGGGAAACUUGGGCUAAUACCGGAUACGUGCGAGAGCAGAAAGAUUUAUACGCUGAAGGAUCGGCCCGCGUCUGAUUAGCUAGUUGGUGGGGUAAUGGCCCACCAAGGCGACGAUCAGUAGCUGGUCUGAGAGGAUGAUCAGCCACAUUGGGACUGAGACACGGCCCAAACUCCUACGGGAGGCAGCAGUGGGGAAUAUUGGACAAUGGGCGCAAGCCUGAUCCAGCCAUGCCGCGUGAGUGAUGAAGGCCUUAGGGUUGUAAAGCUCUUUCGUCCGGGACGAUAAUGACGGUACCGGAAGAAGAUGCCCCGGCUAACUUCGUGCCAGCCGCCGCGGUAA
rnacentral:rRNA from 1 species